GCAUCUGUAGCUCAGUUGGUUAGAGCGCUGCACCGUGAUCGCAGGACCGCAGAUUCGAUUCCUGCUAGAGGCC
rnacentral:tRNA from 1 species